rnacentral:rRNA from 1 species
AUUGCAAAGAGUGGCGAACGGGUGAGUAACACGUGGGAAACCUACCUCUUAGCAGGGGAUAACAUUUGGAAACAGAUGCUAAUACCGUAUAACAAUGACAACCGCAUGGUUGUUAUUUAAAAGAUGGUUCUGCUAUCACUAAGAGAUGGUCCCGCGGUGCAUUAGCUAGUUGGUAAGGUAAUGGCUUACCAAGGCGAUGAUGCAUAGCCGAGUUGAGAGACUGAUCGGCCACAAUGGGACUGAGACACGGCCCAUACUCCUACGGGAGGCAGCAGUAGGGAAUCUUCCACAAUGGGCGAAAGCCUGAUGGAGCAACGCCGCGUGUGUGAUGAAGGGUUUCGGCUCGUAAAACACUGUUGUAAGAGAAGAAUGACAUUGAGAGUAACUGUUCAAUGUGUGACGGUAUCUUACCAGAAAGGAACGGCUAAAUACGUGCCAGCAGCCGCGGUAAUACGUAUGUUCCAAGCGUUAUCCGGAUUUAUUGGGCGUAAAGCGAGCGCAGACGGUUAUUUAAGUCUGAAGUGAAAGCCCUCAGCUCAACUGAGGAAUUGCUUUGGAAACU